GUUUUUAGCAUUCAAAUUCAUAUUUACAAACAAAAGAUCUUCGCUAGAUUUCUAGAUUCCCAUCAAUUUCCAUCAAUAUCUUCAGCUAAAUCAACGUUGGCUUUGAAGUUGAGGCUCCUUGUGCUUUUAUUAUUUUGCACUUUUUUUUGGUGUUGUGCACUUUAAGAGCAAAAAGCCCUUGCUACACUAAAUGUACUUUGCUUUGCAUGUGUAAAAGCGCUUUCCUAUUUGUCGCUGCACUUUUACAUUUUUUACUACACUAGCUUAGAAUGAAAGAAUUCAAUUCUUCUUAACUUAAAAAAAUUCAUUUUAAAAGAAAU
rnacentral:misc_RNA from 1 species